CCUACGGGAGGCAGCAGUGAGGAAUAUUGGUCAAUGGACGAGAGUCUGAACCAGCCAAGUAGCGUGAAGGAUGACUGCCCUAUGGGUUGUAAACUUCUUUUAUAUGGGAAUAAAACGUUCCACGUGUGGGAUUUUGUAUGUACCAUAUGAAUAAGGAUCGGCUAACUCCGGGCCAGCAGCCGCGGUAAUACGGAGGAUCCGAGCGUUAUCCGGAUUUAUUGGGUUGAAAGGGAGCGUAGGUGGAUUGUUAAGUCAGUUGUGAAAGUUUGCGGCUCAAUCGUAAAAUUGCAGUUGAGACUGGCAGUCUUGAGUACAGUAGAGGUGGGCGGAAUUCGUGGUGUAGCGGUGAAAUGCUUAGAUAUCACGAAGAACUCCGAUGGCGAAGGCAGUUCACUGGACUGCAACUGACACUGAGGCUCGAAAGUGUGGGGAUCAAACAGGAUUAGAUACCCUAGUAGUC
rnacentral:rRNA from 1 species